AGGACAGGAGGGGACCGCAGGGGAACCGCAAGCUGGGGAGCUGCAGGGAAGUCCCCGUGACAGGGGACCAGAGUGACAGGAGCGUCAGGACGAAGUGGCCAGGGGCCGGCCCCGGAAAGCAAGUUGGUGGAGUAUCUUCCAUUUGUAAGAGACCGGUUACACGGCUCGGUGAACUGAACUCGGGAACUCAACGCCCCCUUCGGGGACUCCCCACGGCGGGGAAACCACCAGGUUCCCAGGGCCGCGGGGCCCGCGAGCCGGGGAGCCCGGGUGGAAGCCGCUGCCCAGGCGGGCGGCUGACGCCUCUUCCCCGGCACCGGGCGCGCGCCGGCCUCGGGCCCCCGAGUCGCCUCGAGGGGCUCGCGUUGGCCGCGUCCCGUGGUGCCGGACGCGGCCGGGCGGGAGCCUCCCCGGAGAGGCCGGUGUCACCGGAGAGCCGGCGGAGGAGAGGCCGCCGGGGCCGCGGCGGUUGUUCCCGACAUGCUCCUCUAGCGGAGGAUUUCAAACCCUCGGCCCCGACGGGCCCCAGCAACAGGCGGCGGCCCGCGUAUCAUUGGCCGGGCCGAGCGAAGGCGUGUUUUGAUUGGCCGCCGCGCCUCCCGGCCCCGCUUCAGCGCUCGCCACCUCCUCCAUUUUGUCGGUAGAGGCAGAAGGAGGAGGCCGGUCGGGAGCCUGAGGUGGCCAUCAGCUGGCUCUUCGGUGCUCGUGGGCUUCGCUCGUUCCUUGCCUCGUCUCUCCCUGGAAGGGGAGGGGGGCUUCGACGCCGAGCAGGAGCCGCCGCGGCCGUGGUGCCGCGCUUGAAGUCGCUAAGACUUCUCUCAAACUUGUGUGCUGAGGAGACUCAGAUGUUGGCCUCAGCUCUUAGGCUGAACUCAGCAGAUCGGCCCAUGAAAACUUCUGUACUGAGACAAAGGAAAGGAUCUGUCAGAAAGCAACAUCUAUUAUCCCGGGCGUGGCAGCAAGGAAGAGGACAGGUAGCGGAAAUCCUGCAAUCUGAAAAGCAGACUGAAAGGUGACAAAGAAGCUGAAGAUGGGUGGUGGAGAGAGGUAUAACAUUCCAGCCCCUCAAUCUAGAAGCGUUAGUAAGAACCAACAGCAGCUCAGUAGACAGAAGACCAAGGAUCAGAAUUCCCAGAUGAAGAUUGUUCAUAAGAAAAAGGAAAGAGGACAUACUUAUAAUUCAUCUGCAGCUGCAUGGCAGGCCAUGCAGAAUGGGGGGAAGAACAAAAGUUUUCCAAAUAAUCAAAACUGGAACUCUAGCUUGUCAAGUCCCACCUUACUUUUUAAGUCUCAAACUAAUCAGAACUAUGCUGGAGCCAAGUUUAGUGAGCCGCCAUCCCCAAGUGUUCUUCCUAAACCACCAAGCCACUGGGUUCCUGUUCCCUUUAAUCCUUCUGAUAAAGAAAUAAUGACAUUUCAACUUAAAACCUUACUUAAAGUACAGGUGUAAAGUGAGCUAAACUACUGUUUAAAUUUAGUCAUAUUUAAGGAUAACUGGCAAUUGUUUCAGACCAAAUUGACUGGGGAAUUAAUCUGUAAAACUGCUAAUCAACGUAGAAAAUAUAAUUAGACUUCAUGUUUUAUGUUAUGUGCACUGUGAUGGUAGAAUCAGUGUAAUUCAAAAUAACUAAAUUAUUGAUAAUUGUACUUGAUAUUGAUACAAAGUGUUCUCAAUUGAGUAACCAUUCAAGUGAAACCUUUCAAGUUUAGAUUUGGGGAAUGGUAAAGGAAUCAACUUUUUCUGUUGCCUGUUAGGGGAACAUAAGAACUUCAGAUUGUCAUUCAUGGAUCAGCAGGUUGACUUGAAUUAUAUGCAUCCAGUUAAGACAUAUAGGGGUUGAAAACUGGUUGAAUAUUUGAAAGUGUAGUGUCCUAGUAAAGUAAUAUGCCAACCACCUGAUGCACUGCCAAAAGGAAAUGUGAAUUUUUAGAGAAUAGUUGUCUUUUAGUGAACUGUAUGGUGGUGAAUGUGGAAAGGGCACUAGGGUCUAUUUAGAAUGAAACUGUAUACCCCAUUGGCCCUGUUAAGUGCAGUGGACAGGUGACUGCCAACAAAUGCACCAAAACGAUUUUUUGUAGAAAUGGUAUUUGGUGUUCACCAAGUAGCUUUCAGAAUACAUUCUCGUAUUAUGGCACUGCAUAAGCUAUUCUGACCGUGAUCUGGCUUCAAAUCAUCCCUGCAAAGCUCGUUUAAAGUGGGGAGCUGCAUAAUGUGAAAGUUAAACAUACCUAGGAAAGAGCCAUGUAAAUAUAUGUAAUAAACUUGUAGCAUAUGUAAAGUUUUGUUGGCAUUUAUCCUACAAAAAUAGAGUAUUUUAGUAUGAAUUUGCAGAAUCUAAGACAUGGACUCUUUUUUUUUUAAUACUAUGGCCUGAUUUUAAAGGUCCAAGAAAACCUUGUUUUUAAAGUUUGCCCUUGUGCUAAAGUGCCAGUGUAUGUAUGUUAUAAUUGAUCUUGCUGUAAACUAUAUUUCAAAGUGAAUCCUAGUGUGAGAAGUUUUAUAUAACUGAAAAGGUUUUAAGCUGCUAAAACACUUUCCUGUUUUUGUGAGGUGUGAAAUGCAGUAUGGGAUUAUUUUUUCUUUCUUACACACAAAAACUAUUAAGGGGUCCCUCCCUUAGUUUCAUUUUGGCUUUCAAGAAUUCAUAUAACCUGAGAGUAUAGUGUAUGAUGCCAGUGUAUUUUUUUUCCGUCAUCAGGUGCAACCCAGGGGACCGCUUAUUCAAAAGAUGUAAUUUCUUGCACAAUACCACAUGAUAAGGUGUUUUGCUUACCUUAAAAGUGCUAAUUAUAAAACAGCCAACCCAGUAGUAAAUUUAAAAAAAUGUGUGGGGGGGUUGUCUAUUUAAAAUUAGAUUGUAGGUGCCCUAUUUUCCAAUUUGGCAGCUUUUUUGAUGCCUUUAAGCAGAAUAGCUAAGUUGUAUUUCUCCAAAUAAAUUCAGGUGAGAUAUUGCCCAACUCAAAUAAUGAUAUCCUAAAGACAAGUUUAUAUAGUACUUAAUGUACAUAUAUGAAUUUGAAGCAUGAAAUUUAAAAAAUAAAAUUGUUUUUCCCCCAGUGGCUUGUUUUUAUUGUAUAAAAAGUUGUUACGACUGCCUAAUAGAGUGCACAUAAUUAACCCUGAAUACAAAAGACUGCUGGUUUUAAGAAGCAACCAAUUUGCUGACAAAGACACUUGGAUUAGCAGCUAUACCAUUAAAAAAGCAACUGUGACUUCCUCCUUCCAGCAGAGCUAACAGUAAAAGGCCAUACAAUAUUACUUUGGAGGCUUCUGAGUUCAUCUACCAAAUUGAAUAAAGCAGGUUUGACUGCCUGUCUCUCCCUCUUUUCUACAUUCUAAGAUGACUUUUAGAUUUACAGAAAAAAAAUUAUUCAAAGUGACGAGGACCUUUGUUUACGUAUUUGUUGGUAUGUAAAGAUGUAAUUUUCACAAGGGGACCUUGGGUUGGGGGAAAGACAUAAGAACUACACUGGCUUUCUAAAAUAGGUUCCAAAUCGUAGUGUAGGUUGAACUAGUUCAAGAAAAAUCUUUUGAAGUUCUACACUAAGCAAGUAGUGAAUCCCAGGGCCAGGCUGUAUUUUCUCAUGCACACUGUAGGAAGUAAUUGAGAUGGAGAAAAUUAAUAUUUGAUCUUCAUUUUCUCCCCUGUAUGUUCCCAGUAUAAUUUCUAUUAACAAUGCCGAGAAUUGCCAAGUUCUUUUCUGUAAUGCACUGGAAUCCCACUAGAUUGAACAAUUCUCAUCCUAGACAUCUGUUAGGUUUUGAUGUAUACGUGUAAAUACAGUAUAUACUAGAUUUUUGGUUUGGGAGUGACUCAAGUGGUAAAAGUGUUCAGAAAAUUAAGAGUGGACUGGCUUUUAACUACAAAAAUUUUUAAUAGCUAAGGGUAUCAACAUCUCAUACCUUAGAAAGGUACUAAUAAAGUUAUGGUUAGCCUACAGGAAGUAUGGUUGACAGGAAUUUCCCAAAUCAUUGUAAGAACUCCUCUACCCUGUAGGGCUUAAAUCAGCCAUAGUGUGAACCUUGUCAGUGUUAUAAUUUUAGUUUUGUCUUAUCUUUUUGAUGGCAGUGUAUGUGGUACAAUGGUAUCUUGAGUUCAUAACCUAUCCUUACACCUAAGUUGUGGUAAGUUCUCCAUCUCAGAAGGAAGCACAAGGUGGGAAAAAACCGAAGGGUUUUGGGGUGAAACAACUGUUAGGAAUACAUAGAAACAACACAAUGAACAUAACCAACACUGCUGGAGGAGGGACAAAGGGAAAAACCCAAGAAAAGGAUCUUUUUCCACAAAAACUAUGUCUACCAGAUGUCAGUAGUUAAAGAUGAAUAGAUUGUGGACUUCUUUCAUCACAGUGUUUACUCCUGCGACGCCUAAAAGCUUUGAUAGACCUCCUAGUUGAACACUCAUUUUAUUCCUGAGCUACCAGUGUGAUGUUCAAGUCACAGCCUUCCCAUUUCAGAAUAUCUCGGGAUUUUGUAACAGGAAUAUGGUCAAAAUGCAACACAACGAGACUGAAAUUU